GUCUUAAUUGGGCGUUAAGUUGCAGGGUAUAGACCCGAAACCCGGUGAUCUAGCCAUGGGCAGGUUGAAGGUUGGGUAACACUAACUGGAGGACCGAACCGACUAAUGUUGAAAAAUUAGCGGAUGACCUGUGGCUGGGGGUGAAAGGCCAAUCAAACCGGGAGAUAGCUGGUUCUCCCCGAAAGCUAUUUAGGUAGCGCCUCGUGAAUUCAUCUCCGGGGGUAGAGCACUGUUUCGGCUAGGGGGCCAUCCCGGCUUACCAACCCGAUGCAAACUGCGAAUACCGGAGAAUGUUAUCACGGGAGACACACGGCGGGUGCUAACGUCCGUCGUGAAGAGGGAAACAACCCAGACCGCCAGCUAAGGUCCCAAAGUCAUGGUUAAGUGGGAAACGAUGUGGGAAGGCCCAGACAGCCAGGAUGUUGGCUUAGAAGCAGCCAUCAUUUAAAGAAAGCGUAAUAGCUCACUGGUCGAGUCGGCCUGCGCGGAAGAUGUAACGGGGCUAAACCAUGCACCGAAGCUGCGGCAGCGACGCUGAUGCGUUGUUGGGUAGGGGAGCGUUCUGUAAGCCUGCGAAGGUGGCCUGUGAGGGUUGCUGGAGGUAUCAGAAGUGCGAAUGCUGACAUAAGUAACGAUAAAGCGGGUGAAAAGCCCGCUCGCCGGAAGACCAAGGGUUCCUGUCCAACGUUAAUCGGGGCAGGGUGAGUCGACCCCUAAGGCGAGGCCGAAAGGCGUAGUCGAUGGGAAACGGGUUAAUAUUCCCGUACUUGGUGUUACUGCGAAGGGGGGACGGAGAAGGCUAUGUUGGCCGGGCGACGGUUGUCCCGGUUUAAGCGUGUAGGUGUGUGUUCCAGGUAAAUCCGGUUCACUUUAACACUGAGGCGUGAUGACGAGGCACUACGGUGCUGAAGCAACAAAUGCCCUGCUUCCAGGAAAAGCCUCUAAGCAUCAGGUAACAUCAAAUCGUACCCCAAACCGACACAGGUGGUCAGGUAGAGAAUACCAAGGCGCUUGAGAGAACUCGGGUGAAGGAACUAGGCAAAAUGGUGCCGUAACUUCGGGAGAAGGCACGCUGACACGUAGGUGAAGUGAUUUACUCAUGGAGCUGAAGUCAGUCGAAGAUACCAGCUGGCUGCAACUGUUUAUUAAAAACACAGCACUGUGCAAACACGAAAGUGGACGUAUACGGUGUGACGCCUGCCCGGUGCCGGAAGGUUAAUUGAUGGGGUCAGCGCAAGCGAAGCUCCUGAUCGAAGCCCCGGUAAACGGCGGCCGUAACUAUAACGGUCCUAAGGUAGCGAAAUUCCUUGUCGGGUAAGUUCCGACCUGCACGAAUGGCGUAAUGAUGGCCAGGCUGUCUCCACCCGAGACUCAGUGAAAUUGAACUCGCUGUGAAGAUGCAGUGUACCCGCGGCAAGACGGAAAGACCCCGUGAACCUUUACUAUAGCUUGACACUGAACAUUGAGCCUUGAUGUGUAGGAUAGGUGGGAGGCUUUGAAGUGUGGACGCCAGUCUGCAUGGAGCCGGCCUUGAAAUACCACCCUUUAAUGUUUGAUGUUCUAACGUGGACCCGUGAUCCGGGUUGCGGACAGUGUCUGGUGGGUAGUUUGACUGGGGCGGUCUCCUCCUAAAGAGUAACGGAGGAGCACGAAGGUUGGCUAAUCCUGGUCGGACAUCAGGAGGUUAGUGCAAUGGCAUAAGCCAGCUUGACUGCGAGCGUGACGGCGCGAGCAGGUGCGAAAGCAGGUCAUAGUGAUCCGGUGGUUCUGAAUGGAAGGGCCAUCGCUCAACGGAUAAAAGGUACUCCGGGGAUAACAGGCUGAUACCGCCCAAGAGUUCAUAUCGACGGCGGUGUUUGGCACCUCGAUGUCGGCUCAUCACAUCCUGGGGCUGAAGUAGGUCCCAAGGGUAUGGCUGUUCGCCAUUUAAAGUGGUACGCGAGCUGGGUUUAGAACGUCGUGAGACAGUUCGGUCCCUAUCUGCCGUGGGCGCUGGAGAACUGAGGGGGGCUGCUCCUAGUACGAGAGGACCGGAGUGGACGCAUCACUGGUGUUCGGGUUGUCAUGCCAAUGGCACUGCCCGGUAGCUAAAUGCGGAAGAGAUAAGUGCUGAAAGCAUCUAAGCACGAAACUUGCCCCGAGAUGAGUUCUCCCUGAGACUUAGAGUCUCCUGAAGGAACGUUGAAGACGACGACGUUGAUAGGCCGGGUGUGUAAGCGCAGCGAUGCGUUGAGCUAACCGGUACUAAUGAACCGUGAGGCUUAACCUUACA
rnacentral:rRNA from 1 species